rnacentral:rRNA from 1 species
UUGCUAAGACUGAUGGCGACCGGCGCACGGGUGAGUAACACGUAUCCAACCUGCCGUCUACUCUUGGACAGCCUUCUGAAAGGAAGAUUAAUACAAGAUGGCAUCAUGAGUCCGCAUGUUCACAUGAUUAAAGGUAUUCCGGUAGACGAUGGGGAUGCGUUCCAUUAGAUAGUAGGCGGGGUAACGGCCCACCUAGUCUUCGAUGGAUAGGGGUUCUGAGAGGAAGGUCCCCCACAUUGGAACUGAGACACGGUCCAAACUCCUACGGGAGGCAGCAGUGAGGAAUAUUGGUCAAUGGGCGAGAGCCUGAACCAGCCAAGUAGCGUGAAGGAUGACUGCCCUAUGGGUUGUAAACUUCUUUUAUAAAGGAAUAAAGUCGGGUAUGUAUACCCGUUUGCAUGUACUUUAUGAAUAAGGAUCGGCUAACUCCGUGCCAGCAGCCGCGGUAAUACGGAGGAUCCGAGCGUUAUCCGGAUUUAUUGGGUUUAAAGGGAGCGUAGAUGGAUGUUUAAGUCAGUUGUGAAAGUUUGCGGCUCAACCGUAAAAUUGCAGUUGAUACUGGAUAUCUUGAGUGCAGUUGAGGCAGGCGGAAUUCGUGGUGUAGCGGUGAAAUGCUUAGAUAUCACGAAGAACUCCGAUUGCGAAGGCAGCGUGCUAAGCUGCAACUGACAUUGAGGCUCGAAAGUGUGGGUAUCAAACA